UUUUUUUUUUUUUUUUUUUUUUUUUUUUUUUUUUUUUUUAAAAAGAAAAAAAAAGGUUCAUACAUCAAUCGCGUUUACUGAAUUGACUUGUGCCCAU
rnacentral:ribozyme from 1 species